GACAGAGGCCUCAAGCGUUAGGCGGAAUCACUGGGCUUAAAGCGUGUGUAGGCGGAUGCCUAAGUACCUUGUGAAAUCCCACGGCUCAACCGUGGAACUGCUGGGUAUACUGGGUGUCUUGGGCCAUUCAGGGGGCGACUGGAACAAGCGGUGGAGCGGUGAAAUGCGUAGAUAUCGCUUGGAACGCCGAAGGUGAAAACAGGUCGCUGGGGAUGUGCCGACGCUGAGACACGAAAGCCAGGGGAGCAAACGGG
rnacentral:rRNA from 1 species